AUGCUUGCUUCAGCAGCACACAUACUAAAAUUGGAACAAUACAGAGGAGAUUAGCAUGGCCCCUGCGCAAGGAUGACACGCAAAUUCGUGAAGGAUUCCAUAUUUUC
ensembl:snRNA U6 U6 spliceosomal RNA